rnacentral:rRNA from 1 species
UACGUAGGGUGCGAGCGUUGUCCGGAAUUAUUGGGCGUAAAGAGCUUGUAGGCGGUCUGUCGCGUCUGCUGUGAAAAUCCGGGGCUCAACCCCGGACUUGCAGUGGGUACGGGCAGACUAGAGUGUGGUAGGGGAGACUGGAAUCCUGGUGUAGCGGUGAAAUGCGCAGAUAUCAGGAGGAACACCGAUGGCGAAGGCAGGUCUCUGGGCCACUACUGACGCUGAGAAGCGAAAGCAUGGGGAGCGAACAGG